GCCACAGUGGACAUAAAAUGCUAGAGGUUGCUGCAUCUCCCAGGGAGACGGACAUUGUCCGCAAAAUUGUGAUCAGUUGCAAAGAAACUUUUUUUCAGUCAUGGCAUUUGGUGUUGUCCUCAGCCAGCCAACUUGGAGCUUGUAGUGCGCUAAGCUAGUCAGUGCUGCCUGUAUGCUGAAAGCAGUGCUAUGAAAGCUGCGCAUUGUCGACGCUGGACCGCAUGACCGUGAUGGUCAGUUACGCUUCAAGGCCAGCGGUCCGUGAGUUCCGCCGUGUGUCCGGCAGCGUGUAGCGCACCGCGGAUGGCUGUUUGGCUGAGACGAGACUUGCAAUGAGGUUCCAUCGGUGACAGAAAAAUGUUGCAUCCACAUGGACCAAUGCACAGUGUGACGUGAUGCGGUGUGGUGCGGUGUUGUGCAGUUGCGAACGUGCGCUACACCCAUUUAAAGAUCGUGGCUAGUAUCAUCUUCAACCACUCUGCUUUGCCGGUAGCCAUUUCGCGCGUACAUCUACUCUCGAUUACGGUAGAGCCAGCAAUUUCUUUAGCGUAGCUGAACGGCGCCGCGCGUGGCGCGUGUACGCGCAAAGCUGGACCAGCCUUGCACGCACUCCGAGAAAGGCUGGUCCGAGGCUUCGAGGCUCCGAGGCUUCGGCAAGGCCGCCCACUUAGUAGGUAUCAGUGAGGCUGGAGCGCUGCUUUAGCCAUCGCGCCCGCUGAAGGGUGGCAGUGUGCAUGCGCAUUCAGACGACCUCGCCUCUACGGAGACCUUCAUUUUCCUCUAUGCGCGACCGUUGUGGGCAUAGUUGAGUUGUGCGAAAGACAGCUGGGGAGUUUAGCUUCUCGUAAUCUGCUUUUCCUUAGUUACUGCAGCACCAGAGAAUAGAGCGUGCUUUGCUGUGUUUGACCAUAGCAUAUCUGCAUUACGCGUCUCUAGACAAAAGUUCAUGCGGCUGCAACAUACAUAUGAGGACGGAUUGCCAUCGAAGCUGUUUAAGCUGUUGACAUGGGCCGCGUACGCGGGCUGCAUACAUUAUGAAAUCAUACAUUUUAUGAACGUUAUAUUAUCUGUGUGGAAAAAAAGUUCUGGCAAAGUUUGACAUAACUCCACCUCAACAAAUAUUAGAAGUAAAGGGAGAGCUGUGGGUUACCUAGACCAAUGAUAAAUGAUAGGCGGCAGUGCACUGUUUGCUGCUAAUCCCUCUGCACAAAUCCAGCGCAUUCAAACAAUUAGGAAUUGAUCAACAAAGCCCACAGAUGCUUGUUUUGUUGUGUGGUUGACUUAUACGGCCUUUAACUUUCGGUGAACUGAGUGGGAUGUGUGAAAAAUAUUGUAAAAGUACUCAAUUAAGGUCAGGGAUGAAAAUUCUUAGCGCUGACAACCACGCUCCAUCAUUGAUUGGCCUUGUAGAGUCUCAUUUAUUUCAGGCUGUUUUCUUGUUUUGUGCUUGUGUGUUAGCUUAAGUGAAGUAAGAGUUGUCUUAAUUAUUCAGAGCGCCACUCCAGUCGCCACCUGCUCAGCAGCCGGCGCAUGCUGCAAGCUUGACACCGGGUGGUACCUUAUUCUUUUGAAUGCUGCUGCCUUGGGGCUAGGAUAAAAAUUUGUGAAAUGUAGCACGGUGUUGCUAUGAAUUCUGCGGAUAGUCGUCUGUUAUGAAUGUUAUUUUGUCUGUUUUAAAACUUUUUACGUGCCGUGGUAAAGUUUAACAUAACUCCAUCCUCAUCAAUUAUUAGCACCAAGGAGAGCUGUAUGUCACCUAAACCAAUAAGAAAUGAUAACCAGAAGUGCAUUGUCUCUGCAUCAAAGACUAAUGCAAGGCUACCAGUUCUUGCUAUGUUUUGCAGAAAUUUGAACACAAGUUUUGUCUACUUCUUACACUUUUCUACAGCCGUCCAAAAGAUCGCAGCUCUUAUGGACCUUGUGAAGAGCAAGCUCGAACUUCCGGGGCCAGAAUUUUUGGCCUGGGUCAAGCAAGCGUACAUGGAUUAGGAUAUUACUGAAAUUGAGUCUUUAACUGUAGGCACAUUCACAUUUGUGGAUGCAGUAUAGGAAAGACAUGGUUACGGCAACAAUAGCCCGCGCACGCCUGACUCGUACACAAAGCUUGGACAAAAAAACAAAAAAAAAACACGCCUCCAUAACCUGCGAGGAGUCGUCAAUCUACUUCUGCGCUGAACAACUCAUCAAUGUUUUGCAAUGAAAGAUGGCUCGCGUGAGGAAGCAGAGAUGAAGCAGUUCUAUUUCGGUGACUUAAGAAAGGCGCUCAUAUUGUUUGUGUUGCAGACGUAUGAAUCAAGGUGUUUAAGGAUAUGCCAAUUGUUGGCGCACCACCGGAUGGUGUGGUAACAUUCAGCUGUGAAUUCUGCAGAGGAAAAGCUCGAGCUCUUGAAGUGUUCUUUGAGACUUCAAAACUCGUUCGCGGACUUUCACGGCAACAUACCGAAACUUGUCUAUGAAACGCAAAUGAAUGUGGUGAUGGGCAUUUUUAACCUGUCAAAGUGCGACUUUGUUGCUUACAUUAACGAAAAUGAAGCUGAAAUUGUUACUGUAAGGUUUGACAAAAACCAGUUUGAGGAGCUUUUGCGAGCUUGGAUACCUCUACCCAGCUUUGCAGAGGGAGUAUUACUGAAUGUGCCAUUCAACCUGAAAGCUCUUCGUACAAAUAGUAAUCGGUGUGCAUGCUGCUUUGUAGCCUCUUUUUUUUGAAGUGAGGCCAUCAUUUUUUCUGUAAUGUUAAUGGAAGUUGUAUAUCGAGCAGCUGUCUGUCAUUAACGUUCCCAAAGAAAGCUUCCAUCUUUAGGUAUUGUUUAAUCUCGCUAGUCGCACAUUCUGCACUUAAUAUUGGUGCUAGCUGUGGUGCGUAUGCACUAAUAGUAAGGUUAGGCUUUCCUAACCUUACUAUUAGUGAAUAGUAAAAACCUAACCUCCUAUUCCUAACCUCCUAUUAGUGACAAGGAGGCAUUGUUGCUUCCUUUUGUCGCGCCUCGUGGACAUCCUGUACCAUCUAUGUAUGUCCAAAUAAACUGAAUUGAACUGAA